AUCACUGUGUGAUAGUCAGAUACAUUAUGCCGGUCAGCAGCAAGAGAGGGAUAUCUCCCAGUCAUGCUGCAAACAGCCACUAGAUGGCAGUCACAGACUGCUUUUUUAACUUUCAUGUAGGGAAACCCUCUGCUGAUAUCGGCAGAGGGAAUCCCUUAGGGGUAGUGUCAGGUUAGGGUCAAUACUGUUGUAGGGUUAGGGAUAGUGUAGGAUUAAGUUUGGGGUAAGGUUUU